rnacentral:rRNA from 1 species
UAAGACGUAGGGCGCGAGCGUUGUCCGGAUUUAUUGGGCGUAAAGAGCUCGUAGGCGGCUUGUUGCGUCAGCUGUGAAAACCCGCAGCUCAACUGUGGGCUUGCAGCUGAUACGGGCAGGCUUGAGUUCGGUAGGGGAGACUGGAAUUCCUGGUGUAGCGGUGAAAUGCGCAGAUAUCAGGAGGAACACCGGUGGCGAAGGCGGGUCUCUGGGCCGAUACUGACGCUGAGGAGCGAAAGCGUGGGGAGCGAACAGGAUUAGAUACCCUGGUAGUCCACGCUGUAAACGUUGGGCGCUAGGUGUGGGGGGCCUCUCCGGUUCUCUGUGCCGCAGCUAACGCAUUAAGCGCCCCGCCUGGGGAGUACGGCCGCAAGGCUA